rnacentral:rRNA from 1 species
GUGAACAUACCUACAACUGUUGUUUCGGCGGUAGGCCGUCCCCUGAAAAGGACGCCUCCCGGCCCGGAACGGACCCCCUCGCGGGGCCCGGACCCGGCGCCCGCCGGAGGAUAACCCAAACUCUAUUUUAACGACGUUUCUUCUGAGUGGCAUAAGCAAAAUAAUCAAAACUUUUAACAACGGAUCUCUUGGUUCUGGCAUCGAUGAAGAACGCAGCGAAAUGCGAUAAGUAAUGUGAAUUGCAGAAUUCAGUGAAUCAUCGAAUCUUUGAACGCACAUUGCGCCCGCCAGCAUUCUGGCGGGCAUGCCUGUUCGAGCGUCAUUUCAACCCUCAAGCUCUGCUUGGUGUUGGGGCCCCACGGUCGACGUGGGCCCUCAAAGGUAGUGGCGGACCCUCCCGGAGCCUCCUUUGCGUAGUAACAUUUCGUCUCGCACUGGGAUCCGGAGGGACUCUUGCCGUAAAACCCCCCAAUUUUUCAAGGUUGACCUCG